GAUGAACGCUGGCGGCGUGCUUAACACAUGCAAGUCGAACGGAAAGGCCCAAGCUUGCUUGGGUACUCGAGUGGCGAACGGGUGAGUAACACGUGGGUGAUUUGCCCUGCACUUCGGGAUAAGCCUGGGAAACUGGGUCUAAUACCGGAUAGGACCACAUUUUGGAUGGUGUGGUGGAAAGUUUUUCGGUGUGGGAUGAGCUCGCGGCCUAUCAGCUUGUUGGUGGGGUAAUGGCCUACCAAGGCGUCGACGGGUAGCCGGCCUGAGAGGGUGUACGGCCACAUUGGGACUGAGAUACGGCCCAGACUCCUACGGGAGGCAGCAGUGGGGAAUAUUGCACAAUGGGCGCAAGCCUGAUGCAGCGACGCCGCGUGGGGGAUGACGGCCUUCGGGUUGUAAACUCCUUUCGCUAGGGACGAAGCGUUUUUGUGACGGUACCUGGAGAAGAAGCACCGGCUAACUACGUG
rnacentral:rRNA from 1 species